rnacentral:rRNA from 1 species
AACGAACGUUGGCGGCGUGGAUUAGGCAUGCAAGUCGAGGGAAUCCCAGCAAUGGGGGAACCGGCGUAAGGGGCAGUAAGGCAUGGGUACCUACCCCGGGGUUCGGGAUAGCCAUCAGAGAUGGUGGGUAAUACCGGAUGACCUCGUGAGAGCAAAGAUUCAUCGCCCUGGGAGGGGCCCAUGUGAUAUUAGCUAGUUGGUGAGGUAACGGCUCACCAAGGCGAAGAUGUCUAGCGGGUAUGAGAGUACGACCCGCGCCACUCGCACUGAGACACUGGCGAGACACCUACGGGUGGCUGCAGUCGAGGAUCUUCGGCAAUGGGCGAAAGCCUGACCGAGCGACGCCGCGUGCGCGAUGAAGGCCUUCGGGUUGUAAAGCGCUUUAGUGGGGGAGAAAAGGGAAACCUUGAUCUAUCCCAAAAAUAAGCUCGGGCUAAGUUCGUGCCAGCAGCCGCGGUAAA